rnacentral:lncRNA from 1 species
AUUCUGACUCGAACUCGAAAAUAGGGAGGCUAGUGUUGGAGGUAUUUUUAUACUAACCAAAGACAUAAGGCAUAUGAGGACAUGAAGCCCUAUCAGGCCCGAUCUGAGACCUGGCACGAGCUUGAUCAUUGACCUCCUCUCCAAAAUCCAACCCGCGCUCGGCUACUGACCUAACAAAGCACAUGAAGGUAUCUCCGUUUCCAUC